AAUGGCCGAAAGGCUGAACUAGCAAUUUGGAAGAAUGUAACAACGAACAAUAUUGUAUAAAGUUCUGGAUAAGAAACAGAUAAUGACAAAAACUUAUUCAUUAGUCUUGACCAAAUUUCGUGCCAGCAGUCGCGGCAAUACGCAGAAGACAAGUGUUAAUCAUCUUUAAUGGGUUUAAAGGGUACCUAGACGGUAAAAAAAGCCAUAUAUGGAACUAAUUUACUAGAGUUUUAUGGGAGAAAUUGGUGGAAUUUUUAGAAGAGUGAUGAUAUAUUAUUAAACUAAAAGGACGGAUAACGGCGAAGGCAACUUUCUAUGUAAAAACUGACGUUGAGGGACGAAGCUCCGGGUAGCAAUAAGGAUUCGAGACCCUAGGUAGUCCGGAGAGACAACUAUGAAUGCCAUAAGCUAGUUAAAUUAGUUUAUAAAUGAAAAUGUAAGCAUUCCACCUUAAGACUAAAGCGGGAACGCCCAAAAUUAAAUCAUUAGACCGUUCCUGAAACCAGUAGUGAAGUAUGUUGUUUAAUUCGAUGAUCCGCGAAUAACCUUACCAAGUUAAUUAGUUAACGUAUAUGUUAUGAAUAUAAAUAAAAUAUUACAAGUGUUGCACGGCUGUUUUUAGUUAAUGUCGUGAGGCUGGUUUAUGCCAAGAAUUAACAAAAAACCCUAGUUUUAUUUAUAUAUAAAAUUGUUUUCCAACAAAUUGGUUAUAAUAGGGAUUAAGACAAGUCAAUAUGACCUUAAUAACAUGGGCUAUAGACGUGCCACAUACGCCUUUACAAAAGGAUGCGAUAUUGUGAAAUGGAGCUAAACCUCAAAUAAGGAUAUAACUUUCAA
rnacentral:rRNA from 1 species